GUAUUUGCCUGUCAAAGCACAUAUACUAACAUUGGAAAGAUACAGAGAAGAUUAGCAUGGCCCCUGUGCAAGGAUUACAAGACAAGAAAGAGCUGAAAAUAUUA
rnacentral:snRNA from 1 species